AGUGAACGCUGGCGGUAGGCCUAACACAUGCAAGUCGAACGGCAGCACAGUAAGAGCUUGCUCUUACGGGUGGCGAGUGGCGGACGGGUGAGGAAUACAUCGGAAUCUACUUUUUCGUGGGGGAUAACGUAGGGAAACUUACGCUAAUACCGCAUACGACCUACGGGUGAAAGCAGGGGAUCUUCGGACCUUGCGCGAUUGAAUGAGCCGAUGUCGGAUUAGCUAGUUGGCGGGGUAAAGGCCCACCAAGGCGACGAUCCGUAGCUGGUCUGAGAGGAUGAUCAGCCACACUGAAACAGAGACACGUUCCAGACUCCUACGGGAGGCAGCAGUGGGGAAUAUUGGACAAUGGGCGCAAGCCUGAUCCAGCCAUACCGCGUGGGUGAAGAAGGCCUUCGGGUUGUAAAGCCCUUUUGUUGGGAAAGAAAGGCAGCAGGUUAAUACCCCGCUGUUCUGACGGUACCCAAAGAAUAAGCACCGGCUAACUUCGUG
rnacentral:rRNA from 1 species